GCUCCGGUGGACUAGUGGUUAGAGCGUCCGCUUCGGAUGUGGAAAGACGUGGGUUCGAUCCUCAGUCGAGUCA